rnacentral:rRNA from 1 species
GACGAACGCUGGAGGCGUGCUUAACACAUGCAAGUCGAACGGUGAAAGGGAGCUUGCUCCCUGGAUCAGUGGCGAACGGGUGAGUAACACGUGGGCAACCUGCCCCUGACUCUGGGAUAACGCUUCGAAAGAGGUGCUAAUACCGGAUACGAACUCCCUUGGCAUCUUGGGAGUUGGAAAGUUUUUCGGUCAGGGAUGGGCCCGCGGCUUAUCAGCUUGUUGGUGGGGUAGUGGCUUACCAAGGCUUUGACGGGUAGCCGGCCUGAGAGGGUGACCGGCCACAUUGGGACUGAGAUACGGCCCAGACUCCUACGGGAGGCAGCAGUGGGGAAUAUUGAACAAUGGGCGGAAGCCUGAUGCAGCAACGCCGCGUGCGGGAUGACGGCCUUCGGGUUGUAAACCGCUUUCGCCUGUGACGAAGCGUGAGUGACGGUAAUGGGUAAAGAAGCACCGGCUAACUACGUGCCAGCAGCCGCCGUAAGAC